rnacentral:rRNA from 1 species
GAUGAACGCUGGCGGCGUGCUUAACACAUGCAAGUCGAACGGUGAAGCAGGAGCUUGCUCCUGUGGAUCAGUGGCGAACGGGUGAGUAACACGUGAGUAACCUGCCCCAGACUCUGGGAUAAGCGUUGGAAACGACGUCUAAUACCGGAUACGAGACGAGAAGGCAUCUUCAUCGUCUGGAAAGAAUUUCGGUCUGGGAUGGACUCGCGGCCUAUCAGGUAGUUGGUGAGGUAACGGCCCACCAAGCCUACGACGGGUAGCCGGCCUGAGAGGGUGACCGGCGACACUGGGACUGAGACACGGCCCAGACUCCUACGGGAGGCAGCAGUGGGGAAUAUUGCACAAUGGGCGCAAGCCUGAUGCAGCAACGCCGCGUGAGGGACGACGGCCUUCGGGUUGUAAACCUCUUUUAGCAGGGAAGAAGCGAAAGUGACGGUACCUGCAGAAAAAGCACCGGCUAACUACGUGCCAGCCGCCGCGGUAAUAC